rnacentral:piRNA from 1 species
UCUUUGGUUUGAUACCAGUCUGAUCGGGAGU